AGUGGUAGGGAAGUUAUUUUCAAGUGCGAAUUAAGGUUUAUCGGGUUUACACAUUGGUAUAUGUGUAAUAUUUGGAAUUUUGGAGAGCGGACAGGUUUGUUCGCGAAUCCGUGACCGAUCGAGGCGAACCAAAAUCAUAGAUUUGUUGUCUCCGUCAUGCUGAUCGCACUGGUGCAAUCCGUUCGCAAAUCUGACGGACGGAUCUGCGGAUAUCGCGCGUUGUUCGAGGAGGGGUCGGUGUUGGCAAAACAGUAAUUUCGCAAAAGUUGCGACAUUUUAUGUAGCGAAUCGCGAGGGAUCGGACGUGGAGGUGCGGACAUGCGAUUUACUAACGCUGUGAAGGGCUCGGUUGUAAAUUUUCAGUUCCGGAGGA
rnacentral:lncRNA from 1 species